rnacentral:rRNA from 1 species
GACAGAGGUCCCGAGCGUUAGGCGGGAUCACUGGGCUUAAAGCGUGUGUAGGCGGAUCGUUAAGUGCCUUGUGAAAUCCCAUGGCUUAACCAUGGAACUGCUUGGCAUACUGGCGGUCUUGAGCCACUUAGGGGCAACCGGAACAAAUGGUGGAGCGGUGAAAUGCGUAGAUAUCAUUUGGAACGCCAAUGGUGAAAACAGGUUGCUGGGAGUGUGCUGACGCUGAGACACGAAAGCCAGGGGAGCAAACGGG